GGAGAAAGAAAAUGUGGUACAUAUACACCACAGAAUACUAUGCAGCCAUAAAAAACAGAGUUUGUGUCCUUUGUAGGGACUUGGAUGAAUCUGGAAACCAUCAUUCUCAGCAAACUGACCCAAGAACAGAAAGCCAAGCACCAUAUAUUCUCACUCAUAGAAAGGUAGAAUCCAGGCACAGAUAUGGACAAGCUGAGCUUGAGAGAAACUGGAGUUUGGUGACUGGAGUUUGCAUCUGCAGAGAUGUAACCAUACCAGAUCAAUCUGGAUUAACUUUGGUGCAACGAAGUUGUGAGUUGUGUUUCAGUUGCUGUGGACCCCCAGGUUGAAGGUCAAGUAACUUCAACAUGCCUAGUUGAACCAAGUGUGAGACCACAGGGAGGAAGCAAGUAUUCAGACUGAGGAGUGGGGACUGAAUUAAGCAGCAGACACUGCAUGGCAAGGUCCAGGAUCAGAUCAGAUGGAGCUCUAGUGCAACCCCAUGACAAGAUCCAGGUAGAUUAUCACCUCCCAGCAUCACCUCGUUGCAUGAUCCAGUCAGGUCACACCUCAUCACCCUAUGCUUAUAAGACAUGACCUGAACUCCAGCUUGGGGAGACAGAUUUGAAUGCUUCUUUCUGUCACCUUACUAGUUGAAUUGCAAUAAAGCUUUUCUUUUCUCAAAAGCUUGUGCCAUGGUAUUGGCUUCUACAUGCAUGAGCCAGUGAGAUCAUUGAUUGCUUGGAAACAGAGACUUGUAAACACUGCUUGUAAAACAGUGUAGUGAAAGCAUAAUUCCAAUGGCCCAGAAGUCUGUGUUUGGGUUCACAUCAGGUUUUUGGCUGAGAGCAGGUCAUGUGUUUGGAGAGCAAGGCUCUACCAUGCCUAAGAGAGACAACUGCCGUCGAUCAAAGAGAAGAAUGGAGAACUACAGGGUGAGACAGUGCAAACAUGUUAACGUUCCUACCAGUGAGGGUGCAGAAACAUCACUGUGAACAUUUGCCACUCAGCAGAGACCUCAAAUGUACACAGCUUCCAAUGUAGGACGACCUCCUGCAUUGAAAGCUAUGACCAAGGAUAUGAGACAAAACCAAAAAAAUCCCUAAAAUCAAGCCUCAAAAGGUCAAGAGGAUUUACUAAUAACUGCCUGCCAAAGAAAGAAGAAAAAAUAUAUAACACCCUUUAAAGGAAAAUAGAAUAAUCUGGAGGUGGAGAAACCCUAAAUGGUUAUAUACCAACCAACAAAGCUUGGAAAUAUGAAAAGAGAAAACGGACGGAACAAAACGGACAAAUAAAUCCAAAACAUAGGUGCAAUUGUUUUAAAUUAUUAACAUAUCAUAAAGUACACAGAAUUUAGGUAUUCAGUUGAAUGAGCUUUGAUAAUUAUAUUACCCACCCAUGUGACUGCCACACACACACAGAUCCGAAAUAUGGACCAUAUCUGUCACCCUCAAAAUAUCUUAAUGUCCUUUUCCAAUCAAAUAACUACCCCAAACUCAGGCAACUACUUUCUGAUCUCUUUACUACAGAUCAUUUUUAUAUCUUAUUGGACUUCAUGUAAAUAGAAUCAUACAAUAUGUACUCUUUUUUGCAUAACAUACUGUUUUUAAGAUUUAAAUGUUUUUGUACCUAUCUGUCAUUCCUUACUUUUAUUGCUUUACAGUUUUCCAUGUAUGAAUAUGUCAUAAUUUGUUUGCCUGUUCUCCUUUUAAUAUACAUUUGGGUUGUAUCCAGUUUUUGCCUAUUUUAAACAAGCCUGCUAUAAACAGUCUUUCACAAAAAAAAAAAAAAAAAUCUGUUUAUGAGGAAACAUAUGUAUAUGUAGAAAAUACAACAGAAACAAAGAAGUCUUGCUGUCUGUGCUAUAGGAAAUGGCUCUAAAAAUGUUGCCCUAACAGAUCAACCUUAUCCCUUACUUGAUCAGUUGUUGCUCUCCUGUGUUCUUCCUUGGAAUUAGUCCCAAUAGACAGAAAAGAGGAGCCUGUAACCAGCACCAACUUCCCUAUCCCACACUUACCCUGAUCAGAAUGUAUUGAUGAAAUUUUCCCCACUCCAUUUUUUCCCAAUUACAUCACUUGGUCAGUAAAUAUUCCCUUUGUAGCCCAAAAGUCUGAAUGAAUGUUUUUCCAGGAGUUUUAGGGUUUGAAAGCCUGGAUUCAUAUUCAAAUAUGUUAUGUGGGAUGCAUUAUCCCUUGAUCAGUACGGAUCACUAUAAUCACUCUGGAUAGUGAUCAAGGAAUAAUGCAUCCCACAUAACAUAUAACUAUGCAUAUGUUUUGUGAUGGUCACAUGAUCGCUAUCCAUAAUUUCUGUGAUGAUGUAACUAAGGAUAGCAAUUCACUACCAUAUUAUGCAAAUUGAUUACUUGACUCAGAGGUUAUGCAGGAAGGCUGGCAGAAAGCAAGAGUAUCUCCCACUUUUAUGUGAUUUAUAGCCUGGCAUUCAUGUAAGACUUUCUGCUUUGAAAUACCUUUAAAAGUCACUGAUGUAAACAUAAAAACAUUCAUGGAGGAAGCACACAACACACUUUCAGUAGCAUGGCAGACAUUUUAUGUUUAAAAGUUAGUUUUUUAAAGCCAUUUUCUGGCACUCUCUCCUAACAUAAACUCUCUCCAAAACACCCAUAAACAAAGAUCUAUUUAGAAGUCAUGGAUUUUCACUAAAUACUAAGCUUCUUAGGUUGGAUUUGCCUCCUAUAUUUGACAUCUGUAAGACUAAAUUUCUCUGUUGCAUGACUUCUUUUUGCUGCCCAUAGUGGUAGUAAUGUUGUGAUGGUCGUACAACUGACCUCCUUAAGAACAAUACCAGGUAUCAAUAAUCUACAGGUUUGAAGAGAAAAAAGGAAAGAUAGCAACAAUAUCCUAUCAUUCAAGGACCCUCAUCGUCUCACUGGAAUUUGAGAAAUGAUUCAGAAGCACUCAUCAAUAUAUCACUUCCAGGUAAAAUGGAAAAUUAAAAAAAAAAACAAUUUUGGCCACAAAUGAACAUUUUUCUUUCUACUUUCUGCCACCCUUGACCAUUUCUUUUGUGUCAUCCUGUGAUAAAUUCCUGUUUUCUUAUUUCUCUUUCUUUUUUUUUUUUUUUUGAGAUGGAGUCUUGCUCUGUCAUCAGGCUAGAGUGCAGUGGGGCAAUCUUGGCUCACUGCAACCUCCACCUCCCGAGUUCAAGCAAUUCACCUGCCUCAGCCUCCUGAGUAGCUGGGA
rnacentral:lncRNA from 1 species